CAGAGCCACUGGGUUAGGACUUGUGGAGCGGUGCAUGCAGGAAGGAAAGGCUGCCCUAGAGGCAACACCUGUUUGAAAUGUCCCUGUUAUCUCUGUUUUAACCUGUUCUUCAGCUCAUCUUUCCUGCCUCUCCUGGCUUCUUUAUCUCUCCAGGAGAAAGCUCUGCCUUUCUCUUGAAUUCCCCAUGUAACUCACUGUUCUGUAACCUUGCGCUUAAUUGUCUGUCUCUUCCAGUAGACGGCGAGGGGUUUAAGGACCAGGUCUCCAGAGUGCGGCCCCUGGCAGGAUAAUGAAUGAUGAGUAAACGCACGAGUGAGUGAACCAUGUGGUGGAGCCAGACGCCAUCUUGAAAAACAUAGAUGAGAGUGGUCUCCCAAGAAGCCCUUCUGAUGACCAGCGAGCUAGAACCUGAGAAAUGAGGUCAAUGACCAAACAAAGACACGGCACUGGGUAUUUCCCUGCUAGAAUGUGUGGAAAUAUAUAAUAACACCAAACCCCAAUGAUGGAAAACAAGCUGUGAGUGGAAGUGGAGGCAUUUGGGAUUAAAUCCAGGGCCUUCAUGCUGAGGUACAUCCCCAGCCCUGUUUGUUUUCGAUUUUAAGAAAGGCUCUUGCUAAAUUGCCCGGGCUGGGCUCGAACAAUCCUGUCCGAGCCUCCCAGAGUGCUGGGAUCGCAGGCGUGUGCCACCACUCCCAGCAGGUACUUACCUCUUGAAGCCUCAGUUUCCUCAUCUGUAAAAAUGGAAAUAGGAACAUCUACUUUGUGUACAAACUAAACUGGUUAAAAAGAAUCUAUUCCUUCUGAUGACGAGUCCAUGAGGUGUUUUAGUGAGAAAAAAAUCCUGCCACCUGAAGAUGUAUUUUCUUUGUAGCAAGCAAGUAGACUUCAGACAAAGUGCCAAAUAGGGAAAUAUUUAUUAGCUUCGAACAACCCUGUCUUUCUCAGCCUGUUGCUGGCGUGUCACUGACAUAGCCUUUACAUCUCCUGUAGUGUAAGCAUCCUUCUAACACCGAGAGUCACACGGGCCUCUUGGGGAAAACCUGAGCUGCCCCGGGAAGUACAAAUGUGAAGAGCGAUAGGUUCAUGGUGGUUCUAACCUUUCGUCUCUCUAUGGAAUCCUUUGAGAAUGUGAUGAAAGCUGAGGACAUUUUCUCAAGGAAAUUGCACACAUAUUUCUGACAAUAAAGAGGCUUUUUCAACUUGAGGCUCAUCUUUGGGUCCCGGUUUGUGUGAAUGGUGGAGUAGAUGUCCAUAGACCUCAAGUGUUUUAGUGUUCCAGAGCUGGAAUGGUAAAAUGUCAUACAUUGGGUGAUAUUUAUUUCCUCACAAUUCUGGGGGUUAGGAGUCCAUGAUCAGGGUGCCAAGAUAGUUGGGUUCUGGAAAGGACGCUCUUCCUGGCUUGCAAACUGCUACCAUCUUGUGUGUGUGUGUGUGUGUGUGUGUGUGUGUGUGUGUGUGAGAGAGAGAGAGAGAGACAGAGAGAGAGAGAGAGACAGAGAGAGAGACAGAGAGAGAGAGACAGAGAGAGACAGAGAGAGACAGAGAGAGAGAGAGAGAGAGAGAGAGAGAGAGAGGGAGGGACAGAGAGGCUCUCUGGUGUCUCUUUUCACGAGGGCAAUUAUCCCUUCAUGGAGACUCGAUCUUCGUGAGUUUAUCUGAACCCAAUAACCUCUUAAUACCAUCACAUUAGGCUGGGGCUUCAACAUAUGAGUUUUAGGAGACACAAAUCAGUCCACAGCACCAGGUCAUAAACCCUGUGCUACGGGAGUAAGGGUGAUAGAGGGGAAAAGGUCCUGGAUCCCAGUCAACCAGAACUGGGCCCUAAGACAGGGGGCCACUUGGGGUCUCUGAACUUCAUUUGUCUCACUUCUCUCUCCUUAUGCUACCGGUUAGUGAAGCCAUAUCAUAUGGCAAGUGUCCUUCUGUCCAAUACCAUUGCUAAGCUGUUUGAAAAGCAAAGCAAGUACUGUUAUUUGCACUUGCAGCUAAGGAAACUGAGUCAUAAGGAGGUUGAAUAGUCGGUCUAAGGUCACAUAGCUAAAGAAUGAACUGCACUUGGCAUUCAUGCCCAGCCAGCUCGGGGCUUUUGCUGUACAUGGAUGUGUUGAUAUCAUAACUGCACUGUGAGAACUGCACAGGACCCAGCGGAGAGAGGCCUUUUGGAAACUAUUCAGGAUGGUCCUUCUCCACAUAUAGGCACACACACACACAAACACACACACACACACACACACACACAUGCACAGUGUUAUUAUUUUGUGGGAAGAGAGACAUCCAUUUUUGUAGUGGGACAACAAAAUUCCCAUGGGUCUCAGUUCUGAAGUUUUCUCUCACGGGAUUUAGAACAAGCCUUGUUAGAGGAAACCAAGUCAUCAGGCUCAGAAAUAUCUGGGACAUUCCUCUUUAGACCGCUUCCCUUUUAGACAUCUUCUCUUUUCAAUACCCUGCUCUAUUUGUGCUUGUUUACAUGGGUCCUUCCCAGGCCACACCUGCUGGCUUCUUGAAAAGCUGUCUCCAAGCAGUCGUGGUUUGGGGUAGUGCAGGAGAAAUAAGGAAACGGCUAGCAGAUGGAUGAGGGCCCAAUAGCACCUUUGUUCUGCUGCCUGCCUGGCAAGGCCAGGGCUGACUAGGCGCUGCUCUUGUGGGUGUCCCUGAUGGCAGGAC
rnacentral:lncRNA from 1 species